UAUCUCUCCGUACGGGGAAGGAUGAGAAGCUUCGACUAAGGUUCGAUUCGAGCGCAGCGAGAAAGCGUUGCCGCAGGCAACGACCCGAAGGGCGAAGCGCGCAGCGCUGAGUAAUC
rnacentral:sRNA from 1 species